UAUAACUAACCAAAGCCAGUGAGUGGGAUCUCAUUGGUAAUGAGGGUGGAGUCGUUGGUUCGAACCCAACUUGU
rnacentral:tRNA from 1 species